GGGCUUACACAUGCAGUCGAGCGGUAACAGGGGGUGCUUGCACCCCGCUGACGAGCGGCGGACGGGUGAGUAAUGCAUAGGAAUCUGCCCAGUAGUGGGGGAUAGCCCGGGGAAACCCGGAUUAAUACCGCAUACGCCCUUUGGGGGAAAGCAGGGGAUCUUCGGACCUUGCGCUAUUGGAUGAGCCUAUGUCGGAUUAGCUAGUUGGUGGGGUAAAGGCCUACCAAGGCGACGAUCCGUAGCUGGUCUGAGAGGAUGAUCAGCCACAUCGGGACUGAGACACGGCCCGAACUCCUACGGGAGGCAGCAGUGGGGAAUAUUGGACAAUGGGGGCAACCCUGAUCCAGCCAUGCCGCGUGUGUGAAGAAGGCUUUCGGGUUGUAAAGCACUUUCAGUGAGGAGGAAAACCUUCUGGUUAAUACCCAUGAGGCUUGACGUUACUCACAGAAGAAGCACCGGCUAACUCCGUGCCAGCAGCCGCGGUAAUACGGAGGGUGCAAGCGUUAAUCGGAAUUACUGGGCGUAAAGCGCGCGUAGGUGGUUUGAUAAGCGAGAUGUGAAAGCCCCGGGCUUAACCUGGGAACGGCAUUUCGAACUGUCAGGCUAGAGU
rnacentral:rRNA from 1 species